GAAACGCGAUAGGUAAUGUGAAUUGCAGAAUUCCGUGAAUCAUCGAAUCUUUGAACGCACAUUGCGCCUUCUGGUAUUCCGGUAGGCAUGCCUGUUUGAGCGUCAGCAAACACUCUCAGCAUUGUAUUUUAUUAUUCAAUAGCUGGUCUUGGGCAGUGGAUGCUGGCGGGGUAGAAUUCGUUCUCCCUGCCUGCGCCCUCCCUAAAAUUGCUGCACGACCGCGAGCCCCUUUUUAGCCAGGUCAAUGGAGUGGUGUUACAAUCUUCCAAAAAGCCUGCUAGAUAAUAGCUUUGCGGCGUUAAACGUGAUGUCUCUUUAUUGAGACUGAAGUUUUGACCUCAGAUCAGACAAGGAUACCCGCUGAACUUAA
rnacentral:misc_RNA from 1 species